UUGGGGGAAAUAAAGGGGUCGACAAUUUUAAUUGAACGCGCCGACAGAUUUAUUGAAGAACAUUUCGUCAGUAAUAUGGUCGCUGAAGCAGGAGUUUGAAAUGACAUACAUUGGUGCGAUGACAUUCUUGUUGGGGAUGGAGUUCAUCCAAAAACCAGAGUAUAUUUGCAUUCAUCAAACUAAAUACGCAAGGGAGUUGCUGAAACGUUACAAGAUGGAAAGUUGUAAAGCAGUAGAUACUCCAUUAAUUUCUAGUAUUAAACUCUACUAGAAUUAUGGAAGUGGAGGUGCAAAUGGCUUUCUCUAUAGAAGUCGUGUGGCUUGUUUAUCGUACGUAAUUGCUUCUCGCCAUGAUAUUAUGUAUGCUGCUAGCAUUUUAUCUAGAUUUAUGAAGGAUCCUUCUGAACUUCAUCUUGUUGCAGCCAAAAGAGUGUUGGGAUAUGUCAAACGUACAUUCAACUAUGGUCUCAAAUUCUACAAAGAACAGAGCACUGAUUUGGGUGUCAAAUUCCACAAGGCACUACAGGUUUUUGUUUCUCCUUUGGGACUGCGGUCUUUACUUGGAACUACAAUAAGCCAGAUAUUGCAGCUCAAUCAACUGCUAAAGCCGAAUACAUAGCUGCUACUGCUGCUACAAACCAUGUCUUGUGGUUGAGAAAAAUCCUUGAUAACAUUGGGUUUAAACAAGGAAAGGAAACUAUUCUCUGGGUGGACAAACAAUCUGAUAUUGACAUAGCAAACAAUCCAGUGCAUCACGGGAAGACCAAACACACUAGGGUCAGAUAUCAUGCCAUUUGAGAUGCUAUUAAAGAGAAAGAAAUUUCAAUGCUCCACUGCUCUUCAAAUGAACAGCUAGCAGAUAUUCUGACAAAAGGGCUAAGCAAGGAAAGGUUUGCACAUCUCAGGACUAAGCUUGGAAUCGGAGAGAUACAUUCCAAAGAGGUGUGUUGAAUUUGAAAUGUAUCUCCAUUUAACCCUUCAAUGGCAAUGAUUUACUUUAAGAAUUAAGUUUUAUUUUAUUUCUUGGUAUUUGCCUUUAUCUUAUUUUCUGUUAUAGCACUUUCUGUACUCUACACAUGUAUGCUAUGUGACCGCUACCAUGUACAAGGUUCUGACAAGUAAUGGUACACAUCAUGGUUCAGCUA